GUAACGCGUGAGAAUCUGCCUUCAGGUCUGGGACAACCACUGGAAACGGUGGCUAAUACCGGAUGUGCCGAGAGGUGAAAGGUUAACUGCCUGAAGAUGAGCUCGCGUCUGAUUAGCUAGUAGGUAGUGUAAAGGACUACCUAGGCGACGAUCAGUAGCUGGUCUGAGAGGACGAUCAGCCACACUGGGACUGAGACACGGCCCAGACUCCUACGGGAGGCAGCAGUGGGGAAUUUUCCGCAAUGGGCGAAAGCCUGACGGAGCAAUACCGCGUGAGGGAGGAAGGCUCUUGGGUCGUAAACCUCUUUUCUCAGGGAAGAACACAAUGACGGUACCUGAGGAAUAAGCAUCGGCUAACUCCGUGCCAGCAGCCGCGGUAAUACGGAGGAUGCAAGCGUUAUCCGGAAUGAUUGGGCGUAAAGCGUCCGCAGGUGGCUAUGUAAGUCUGCUGUUAAAGAGUCUAGCUCAACUAGAUAAGAGCAGUGGAAACUACAUGGCUAGAGUGCGUUCGGGGCAGAGGGAAUUCCUGGUGUAGCGGUGAAAUGCGUAGAGAUCAGGAAGAACACCGGUGGCGAAGGCGCUCUGCUAGGCCGCAACUGACACUGAGGGACGAAAGCUAGGGGAGCGAAU
rnacentral:rRNA from 1 species